rnacentral:rRNA from 1 species
UACGGAGGUGGCAAGCGUUGUUCGGAAUCAUUGGGCUUAAAGGGCGUGUAGGCGGGACGUUAGGUAUCGGGUGAAAUCCCCGGGCUCAACCCGGGAACUGCCUGGUAUACCGGCGUCCUCGAGGCAGGUAGAGGUGACCGGAACGACGGGUGGAGCGGUGAAAUGCGUAGAUAUCCGUUGGAACGCCGGUGGCGAAAGCGGGUCACUGGGCCUGUCCUGACGCUGAGACGCGAAAGCGUGGGUAGCAAACAGG